GACGAACGCUGGCGGCGUGCUUAACACAUGCAAGUCGAGCGGUAAGGCCCUUUCGGGGGGUACACGAGCGGCGAACGGGUGAGUAACACGUGGGUGACCUGCCCUCAGCUCUGGGAUAAGCCUGGGAAACUGGGUCUAAUACUGGAUAUGACUCCACGGUGCAUGUCGUGGGGUGGAAAGCCUUGUGCGGCUGAGGAUGGGCCCGCGGCCUAUCAGCUUGUUGGUGGGGNGAUGGCCUACCAAGGCGACGACGGGUAGCCGGCCUGAGAGGGCGACCGGCCACACUGGGACUGAGACACGGCCCAGACUCCUACGGGAGGCAGCAGUGGGGAAUAUUGCGCAAUGGGCGAAAGCCUGACGCAGCGACGCCGCGUGAGGGAUGACGGCCU
rnacentral:rRNA from 1 species